GGGGACUUAGCUCAGCGGUAGAGCGCUUGCCUAGCAAGCGCAAGGCCCUGGGUUCGGUCCCCAGCUCCG
rfam:Rattus norvegicus chromosome 16, whole genome shotgun sequence.